rnacentral:rRNA from 1 species
AUUGAACGCUAGCGGGAUGCUUUACACAUGCAAGUCGAACGAGUGGCGGACGGGUGAGUAAUAUAUCGGAACGUGCCCAGUAGCGGGGGAUAACUACUCGAAAGGGUGGCUAAUACCGCAUACUAUGGGAGCGGCCGAUAUCGGAGUAGCUAGUUGGUGGGGUAAAGGCUCACCAAGGCAACAAUCCGUAGCUGGUUUGAGAGGAUGACCAGCCACACUGGAAAUGAGACACGGGCCAGACUCCUACGGGAGGCAGCAGUGGGGAAUAUUGGACAAUGGGGGAAACCCUGAUCCAGCCAUGCCGCGUGUAUGAGAAGGCCUUCGGGUUGUAAAGUACUUUUAGCGGGGAGGCGGUACCUGCAGAAUAAGCACCGGCUAACUACGUGCCAGCAGCCGCGGUAAUUC